UAAAGAGUUCUAUAACUCCCAAACCCAUGUGAACAUACCUAACGUUGCCUCGGCAGGUCGCACCUACCUUGUAGCACCCUACCCUGUAGGGCCUACCCGGGAGGUGCGGGUAAGCCUGCCGGCGGCCCACCAAACUCUGUUUGAUAUUGAAUUCUGAACCUAUAACUAAAUAAGUUAAAACUUUCAACAACGGAUCUCUUGGUUCUGGCAUCGAUGAAGAACGCAGCGAAAUGCGAUAAGUAAUGUGAAUUGCAGAAUUCAGUGAAUCAUCGAAUCUUUGAACGCAUAUUGCGCCCAUUAGUAUUCUAGUGGGCAGGACCGUUCGAGCGUCAUUUCAACCCUUAAGCCUUCGUUGCUUAGUGUUGGGAGCCUACGGCAACGUAGCUCCUCAAAGUUAGUGGCGGAGUUGGUUCACACUCUAGACGUAGUAAUUUUUUAUCUCGCCUAUUAGUUGGACUAAUCCCCUGCCGUAAAACCCCUAAUUUAUCAAGGUUGACCUCGAAUCGGUUCAGACAAACUCGCUAAAUUGAAGCAUCUUAGUCAGCGAAGG
rnacentral:rRNA from 1 species